rnacentral:rRNA from 1 species
AGUCGAGCGGUAAGGCCCUUUCGGGGGUACACGAGCGGCGAACGGGUGAGUAACACGUGGGUGACCUGCCCUCCACUCUGGGAUAAGCCCGGGAAACUGGGUCUAAUACCGGAUAGGACCACUGAUCGCAUGGUUGGUGGUGGAAAGUUUUUUCGGUGGGGGAUGGGCCCGCGGCCUAUCAGCUUGUUGGUGGGGUGAUGGCCUACCAAGGCGGUGACGGGUAGCCGGCCUGAGAGGGCGACCGGCCACACUGGGACUGAGACACGGCCCAGACUUAUACGGGAGGCAGCAGUGGGGAAUAUUGCGCAAUGGGCGGAAGCCUGACGCAGCGACGCCGCGUGGGGGAUGACGGCCUUCGGGUUGUAAACCUCUUUCGCCAGGGACGAAGAGCAAUUGACGGUACCUGGAGAAGAAGCACCGGCCAACUACGUGCCAGCAGCCGCGGUAACACGUAGGGUGCGAGCGUUGUCCGGAAUUAUUGGGCGUAAAGAGCUCGUAGGCGGUGUGUCGCGUCGGCCGUGAAAACUUGGGGCUUAACUCUGAGCGUGCGGUCGAUACGGGCAUCACUUGAGUUCGGCAGGGGAGACUGGAAUUCCUGGUGUAGCGGUGAAAUGCGCAGAUAUCAGGAGGAACACCGGUGGCGAAGGGCGGGUCUCUGGUCCGAUACUGACGCUGAGGAGCGAAAGCGUGGGGAGCGAACAGGAUUAGAUACCCUGGUAGUCCACGCCGUAAACGUUGGGCGCUAGGUGUGGGGACCAUUCCACGGUUUCUGUGCCGCAGCUAACGCAUUAAGCGCCCCCGCCUGGGGAGUACGGCCGCAAGGCUAAAACUCAAAGGAAUUGACGGGGGGCCCGCACAAGCGGCGGAGCAUGUGGAUUAAUUCGAUGCAACGCGAAGAACCUUACCUGGGUUUGACAUGCACCAGACAUCCCUAGAGAUAGGGCUUCCCUUGUGGUUGGUGUGCAGGUGGUGCAUGGCUGUCGUCAGCUCGUGUCGUGAGAUGUUGGGUUAAGUCCCGCAACGAGCGCAACCCUUGUUCCAUGUUGCCAGCACGUAAUGGUGGGGACUCAUGGGAGACUGCCGGGGUCAACUCGGAGGAAGGUGGGGAUGACGUCAAGUCAUCAUGCCCCUUAUGUCCAGGGCUUCACACAUGCUACAAUGGCUCAUACAGAGGGCUGCGAGACCGUGAGGUGGAGCGAAUCCCUUAAAGUGAGUCUCAGUUCGGAUCGGGGUCUGCAACUCGACCCCGUGAAGUUGGAGUCGCUAGUAAUCGCAGAUCAGCAACGCUGCGGUGAAUACGUUCCCGGGCCUUGUACACACCGCCCGUCACGUCACGAAAGUUGGUAACACCCGAAGCCGGCGGCCCAACCCUUGUGGAGGGAGCUGUCGAAGGUGGGACUGGCGAU